GAUGAACGCUGGCGGCGUGCCUAAUACAUGCAAGUCGAGCGAACAGACGAGGAGCUUGCUCCUCUGACGUUAGCGGCGGACGGGUGAGUAACACGUGGAUAACCUACCUAUAAGACUGGGAUAACUUCGGGAAACCGGAGCUAAUACCGGAUAAUAUAUUGAACCGCAUGGUUCAAUAGUGAAAGACGGUUUUGCUGUCACAUAUAGAUGGAUCCGCGCCUCAUUAGCUAGUUGGUAAGGUAACGGCUUACCAAGGCAACGAUGCGUAGCCGACCUGAGAGGGUGAUCGGCCACACUGGAACUGGGACACGGUCCAGACUCCUACGGGGGGCAGCGGUAGGGAAUCUUCCGCAAUGGGCGAAAGCCUAACGGGGCAACGCCGCGGGGGUGAGGAAGGUCUUCGGAUCUUAAAACUCUGUUAUUAGGGAAAAACGAAGUGGUAAGUAACUAUGCACGUCUUGACGGUACCUAAUCAGAAAGCCACGGCUAACUACGUG
rnacentral:rRNA from 1 species